rnacentral:tRNA from 1 species
GCCUUCGUGGUGUAAUAGUAGCACGCUAGGCGCGUAUUUGAGAGGUCCAGGUUCCAGUCUCGGCGAGGGCA